AUACCUGCCUGUCAGGGGAGACACCAUGAUUCCUAAGAUUGCUUUCCCAGGGCAAGGCUUAUCCAUUGCAAGUUGGAUGUACUGACCCCUGAGACACCUCCAAAUAUGGGAAACUCUACUGCAGAAUUUGUGGUAGUGUGGGACUGUGUUCAUGCUCUCCUCUG
rnacentral:snRNA from 1 species